AUUGAACGCUGGCGGCAGGCCUAACACAUGCAAGUCGAGCGGAUGAAGGGAGCUUGCUCCUGGAUUCAGCGGCGGACGGGUGAGUAAUGCCUAGGAAUCUGCCUGGUAGUGGGGGAUAACGUCCGGAAACGGGCGCUAAUACCGCAUACGUCCUGAGGGAGAAAGUGGGGGAUCUUCGGACCUCACGCUAUCAGAUGAGCCUAGGUCGGAUUAGCUAGUUGGUGGGGUAAAGGCCUACCAAGGCGACGAUCCGUAACUGGUCUGAGAGGAUGAUCAGUCACACUGGAACUGAGACACGGUCCAGACUCCUACGGGAGGCAGCAGUGGGGAAUAUUGGACAAUGGGCGAAAGCCUGAUCCAGCCAUGCCGCGUGGGUGAAGAAGGUCUGCGGAUUGUAAAGCACUUUAAGUUGGGAGGAAGGGCAGUAAGUUAAUACCUGGCUGUUUUGACGUUACCAACAGAAUAAGCACCGGCUAACUUCGU
rnacentral:rRNA from 1 species